GGGGUUGUGGCUCAGUGGUAGAGCACUCGCCUAGCUCCUGAGAGGCCCUGGGUUCCAUCCUCAGCACCACA
rnacentral:tRNA from 1 species